GUACUGAGACACGGACCAGACUCCUACGGGAGGCAGCAGUGAGGAAUAUUGGACAAUGGGAGCAAUCCUGAUCCAGCCAUGCCGCGUGCAGGAAGACUGCCCUAUGGGUUGUAAACUGCUUUUAUACAGGAAGAAAAAGCCCGACGUGUCGGGUGUUGACGGUACUGUAAGAAUAAGGAUCGGCUAACUCCGUGCCAGCAGCCGCGGUAAUACGGAGGAUCCAAGCGUUAUCCGGAAUCAUUGGGUUUAAAGGGUCCGUAGGCGGGACAAUAAGUCAGUGGUGAAAGUCUGCAGCUCAACUGUAGAAUUGCCAUUGAUACUGUUGUUCUUGAGUGCUUGUGAAGUGGUUAGAAUGAGUAGUGUAGCGGUGAAAUGCAUAGAUAUUACUCAGAAUACCGAUUGCGAAGGCAGAUCACUAACAAUUCACUGACGCUGAUGGACGAAAGCGUAGGUAGCGAACAGGAUUAGAUACCCUGGUAGUCUACGCCGUAAACGAUGGUUACUAGCUGUUCGGACCAAUUGAGGUCUGAGUGGCUAAGCGAAAGUGAUAAGUAACCCACCUGGGGAGUACGUUCGCAAGAAUGAAACUCAAAGGAAUUGACGG
rnacentral:rRNA from 1 species